GUGCUCACUUCGGCAACACAUACACUAAGACUGGAACGAUACAGAGGAGAUUAGCAUGGCCCCUGUGCAAGGAGGACACACAGGUUCGUGAAGUGUUGUAUUUUUUC